AGAGUUUGAUCCUGGCUCAGAUUGAACGCUGGCGGCAGGCCUAACACAUGCAAGUCGAGCGGUAACAUUUCUAGCUUGCUAGAAGAUGACGAGCGGCGGACGGGUGAGUAAUGCUUGGGAACAUGCCUUGAGGUGGGGGACAACCAUUGGAAACGAUGGCUAAUACCGCAUAAUGUCUACGGACCAAAGGGGGCUUCGGCUCUCGCCUUUAGAUUGGCCCAAGUGGGAUUAGCUAGUUGGUGAGGUAAGGGCUCACCAAGGCAACGAUCCCUAGCUGGUUUGAGAGGAUGAUCAGCCACACUGGAACUGAGACACGGUCCAGACUCCUACGGGAGGCAGCAGUGGGGAAUAUUGCACAAUGGGCGCAAGCCUGAUGCAGCCAUGCCGCGUGUGUGAAGAAGGCCUUCGGGUUGUAAAGCACUUUCAGUCAGGAGGAAAGGUUAGUAGUUAAUACCUGCUAGCUGUGACGUUACUGACAGAAGAAGCACCGGCUAACUCCGUGCCAGCAGCCGCGGUAAU
rnacentral:rRNA from 1 species